CGACUCCUACGGGAGGCAGCAGUAGGGAAUAUUGGGCAAUGGGCGGAAGCCUGAACCAGCCAUCCCGCGUGAAGGAAGAAUGCGCUAUGCGUUGUAAACUUCUUUUCCAGGGGAAGAAAACCUCUGAUGUAUCGGAGCUUGCCGGUACCCUGGGAAUAAGCAUCGGCUAACUCCGUGCCAGCAGCCGCGGUAAUACGGAGGAUGCGAGCGUUAUCCGGAUUUAUUGGGUUUAAAGGGUGCGUAGGCGGAUAAAUAAGUCAGUGGUGAAACCCUGCAGCUUAACUGUAGACUUGCCGUUGAUACUGUUUAUCUUGAGUUUGGUCAAGGCAGGCGGAAUGUGUAAUGUAGCGGUGAAAUGCUUAGAUAUUACACAGAACACCGAUUGCGAAGGCAGCUUGCUGGGCCGGUACUGACGCUGAUGCACGAAAGCGUGGGGAUCGAACAGGAUUAGAUACCCUGGUAGUCCACGCCGUAAACGAUGAUCACUAGCUGUUGGCGAUACACAGUCAGCGGCAAAGCAAAAGCAUUAAGUGAUCCACCUGGGGAGUACGGCCGCAAGGCUGAAACUCAAAGGAAUUGACGGGGGCCCGCACAAGCGGAGGAACAUGUGGUUUAAUUCGAUGAUACGCGAGGAACCUUACCUGGGCUUAAAUGUAGAGUGCAUUCCCGAGAAAUCGGGAUUCCCUUCGGGGCUCUUUGCAAGGUGCUGCAUGGUUGUCGUCAGCUCGUGCCGUGAGGUGUCGGGUUAAGUCCCAUAACGAGCGCAACCCUUAUCGUUAGUUGCCAGCGGGUAAAGCCGGGAACUCUAACGAAACUGCCGGUGUAAACCGAGAGGAAGGUGGGGAUGACGUCAAAUCAGCACGGCCCUUAUGUCCAGGGCUACACACGUGUUACAAUGGCCGGUACAGAGGGCAGCUACCUGGAGACAGGAUGCGAAUCUCGAAAGCCGGUCUCAGUUCGGAUCGGAGUCUGCAACCCGACUCCGUGAAGCUGGAUUCGCUAGUAAUCGCGCAUCAGCCAUGGCGCGGUGAAUACGUUCCCGGGCCUUGUACACACCGCCCGUCAAGCCAUGGAAGUUGGGGGUACCUGAAGUCCGUAACCGCAAGGAGCGGCCUAGGGUAAAACCAGUGACUGGGGCUAAGUCGUAACAAGGUAACC
rnacentral:rRNA from 1 species